rnacentral:lncRNA from 1 species
GGAACGCCUUUCCGACUCAGAGGUGUGGAGACACAGCCCGGCAACGAAAGAAGGAGAAGCAACUCCCUGGGAAGAGGGAACCACAGAGGAGCGUUCCUUGUCUAGACUGGCUCCCGCACAGAUCUGGGCAGUACCAGUUCCAGCAGAUACUUUCUCUGGUUGGAUCUCUGCUUCAAGCCCACCACGGCAUCUCUGCUGCGGGUGCAGCUCCAGCCUCACAGACGUGGAGAAACAGAGCAGUUCUGCAGGACCAUCCAUUACAGAUGGUUGUGCCAGUGGUGAAGACAAAAGAAGGCUUUGAUUGCAUUUUGAACCAGAUUGUUUAAGUUGACUGUAUUACAGUACUUCUUCACAAUGGAGCAGCAAGCACAGAUGAGAAAUACCUUUCUACACUAGUACUGAGGGAUCUUCAGAUUUGAAUAUUAAGUGAAAAAGGUAGAGGGAAUAGAAAAAUAUAUGCAAUUUUAUUUUUAAAAUGAAAAAAUAAAUCAUAAAAAAUGUUGAAGUCAUUAUGGAACAGGAAGGAGUAGAGGGGAGAUAAGGAUUUUGGAACAAAGGAAAGAGCUAUACAAUCAAAAGGGGUUAGAGCUGGAGGUGUGUAGCUCAGCAGGAGAGCACAUGCUUAGCAAGUGUGAGGCCUUAGGCUCACUCCCCAGCACCAAAAAAAGAAAAGAGAGGAAGAAGUUGGGUGCAAUUAAAUAAAACCUAGAAUCCCUGAAUUUAAGUUGGAAAUUUCAGUUUAAAUAAUGUAUUUUAUUAAAAAAAGAAAAAGACCAAACCAAACCAAAUCAUUUUACCCAGCACUGUCCACCAAACAAGUAACUCAUUUAUACCACCACAGUCCUUCAGAUUGUGGUCUUUAAAUAGUUUCCCAUUAAAAGAAACAGCACUGUGAUAAGCAGUAUAUGAUAUAAUUUUUAUACUUCCCCAGAAGUCAGUGUUAUUCUUUUAUAGUACAAAACGGACAUGUUUGGGACACUGAGACUGAAUAGGUGUCAAAAGAGCUGCAAAAUGAAAAACAGAGAAAUGUUAGCAUAUCAGAGACAAAAAGUCUGUGUUGUGAAAUGGAAAGACAAAAAAGACAUCUCCUUAUUGUCAACUGUUCAUAAUACAGAAAUGAUAGAAAUUGAAAGAAAAAAAGAAACAAAAAAAAUACAUUACUUAUUGACUAGUUAUCUUUUUCUCACUAAUAUAUAAUACUGAUGUCAUAUAGCAAAUUCGUAUAUACAUAUAUGUG